rnacentral:rRNA from 1 species
UAUAGCAUAUCACCCUGCAGCUCUCUCCUGGUUUCCCACUGAAGCUAAGCAGGGUUGAGCGUGGCCAGUAUCUGGAUGGGAGACCUCCUGGGAAAAACUAAGGCUGUUGCUGGAA